AGCUCUAUACUUUAAACAAAAGAUCUGAUUUGCAUUCAAACAUUGAACCACCAUUCUAGAGCUA
rnacentral:tRNA from 1 species